rnacentral:sRNA from 1 species
UUUUUUUGUCGGUUUU